rnacentral:lncRNA from 12 species
CUUGUUAGUGAGGCGGAGGUUGCAAUGAGCUGACUCCCGGCACUACUGAUAUCCUUUAGCUAUGGACUCUGGGACUGAGAGACACUAACAAGCUUGGUUCAGACAGGACUUUGUGCUACAAAAACAACUUAAUCCCAUAUCUACUAUAUAUAUGCCGAGCAACAACAAAUCCUGACUUAAUUGACAAUGCUAACCCCUUUUGGUGCAUUCACAGCAAACGGGAAGGCCAUCUCCAAACUGCUUGAAGUAUGGUAGUUGGAUCCAUUCUGCUCAAGUCAGGAGGAAGCCGCAAAAUUUCAAAAUGCCAUUGCAACCAAACGACAAGUGCAUCAGCCAAACACAAACUGAAUUGUCAUCUCUCCAUAAGCAGUUCUAUGAUAAACUUUUUUAAAGGGAGAAAUACAUAAAACACGUAUAUAUGCAUACACACGCACAUGCACACAUAUUGAAAUAUUUGGGGAGAAGGAAGACUGCCAAACAUUUAACAACAUUGCUGUGGACCUAUUACUUUUCUGAAGAAAAGUGUACUGAAAGUUGAGGAAAUCGGGAGAGAAAACUUCAUAGCAUAUUGUCUACUAGGCUAAAAGUUUCUUCUCAAAUACGAUAUUGGCCUGAGAUGUUCAAAUUCCUGGACAGUGACAAUGCAGCAUAAACUCAAGGUUCCAGGAAACUGUACCAGUAGGAGCCCGAAGCUGGAAAAGCUGACCCACUGUGUCUUGGGACAGCUGGUGUGGAAUUCCGAAGGGGAUGCUGAUGCAUUCAUCCCUUCUUGUGCGCGGAAAGCCCAUAAACACAUCUUGAGUUCCAGCCUAGAGGAGUUCAGCCUUCUGUAAGCAAAGCUGGUCACAGGACAUCCGUCUGGAUGCACGAUGCUCAACUGCCUGCAAAUGAUGGGAGCGUCUGAACACCCAUCCCGGCGCUCUAUGCUCUAUCUUUCACUUUUUCCCAGGCCUUCAUCUUCCCGGGGUGGAUGCCAGGGGACGGGGGCAGCCUGUAAGGUUAAUGUGCUUGGUGUUCACACAUGAAAUUAAGAAGAAGAAGAGCCACCCAGAGAGUAGCUCUUUUCUACCUCAUGCCCUGGCUUUCAGGAAACAACACUAGUCCCCAGAAAGAUGCUGCGGAGAUUACAACAUUCCUGCUUUUGUCUACUGCUUUCAAUAGCUACAGUAUUUGAACACUCAUCCAGCCCAAAGCUCUUUUAAUUGUAUACAGCACCCUAAGAAGGUCAUUCACACCCUGACAUUAAGAAUAUAAAAACUGGGAUCCCUGGGUGGCGCAGCGGUUUGGCGCCUGCCUUUGGCCCAGGGCGCGAUCCUGGAGACCCGGGAUGGAAUCCCAUGUCGGGCUCCCGGUGCAUGGAGCCUGCUUCUCCCUCUGCCUGUGUCUCUGCCUCUCUCUCUCUCUCUCUCUGUGACUAUCAUAAAUAAAAAUUUAAAAAAAAAUAAAUAAAAAUAAAAA